rnacentral:rRNA from 1 species
ACUAACAUUUUAUAUUCUCGAUAUACAAUUAAUACCUAUUACACUAGUAUGCAUUAUUUAAGUAUUAAACGACCUUGCUUNNUUUAGAGGCGGUGUUAUUGUGAGAAAGAGUGGGGGGGUUACCUUCGUGCCGCUGCAUAAGCGAUAAGCACCCCUUUUUGGGGAGUACGAUCGCAAGAUUGAAACUCAAAGGAAUUGACGGGGGCCCGCACAAGCGGUGGAGCACGUGGUUUAAUUCGAUGCAAACCGAAAAACCUUACCUGGGUUUGACAUGCACGUGGUACGGAGAUGAAAGUUGAAGGACCCCUUAAAGAUACGGGGAGCGUGCACAGGUGCUGCAUGGCUGUCGUCAGCUCGUGUCGUGAAAUGUUGGGUUAAGUCCCGCAACUAGCGCAACCCCUGCAUCCAGUUGCCAGCUGAUUGAAGACGGGGACUCUGGAUGGACUGCCGGCGACAAUCUCGGAUGAAGGUGUGGGAUGACGUCAAGCCAUCAAUGGUCCUUAUGUCCAGAGGCGACAUACGUGCUACAAUGGCCUGGUAUAAACAGGAAUUGAGGGGGCGAAUCCGGUAAAAGGAUCCCACCAAAAAAACGUCCCAAGUUACAGAUUGGAAGUCUGCAUACUCGACUCCCUGUAAGCUGGAAAUCCCUUAGAUAAACUAGGAUCAACACAAGUCGCGGUUGAAUAAAUAUCC